rnacentral:rRNA from 1 species
UACGUAGGGUGCGAGCGUUGUCCGGAAUUACUGGGCGUAAAGAGUUCGUAGGCGGUUUGUCGCGUCGUUUGUGAAAACCCGGGGCUCAACUUCGGGCUUGCAGGCGAUACGGGCAGACUUGAGUGUUUCAGGGGAGACUGGAAUUCCUGGUGUAGCGGUGAAAUGCGCAGAUAUCAGGAGGAACACCGGUGGCGAAGGCGGGUCUGCUGGGCCAAGACUGACGCUGAGGCGCGACAGCGUGGGGAGCAAACAGG